UAGGGAAUCUUCGGCAAUGGACGAAAGUCUGACCGAGCAACGCCGCGUGAGUGAAGAAGGUUUUCGGAUCGUAAAACUCUGUUGUUAGAGAAGAACAAGGACGUUAGUAACUGAACGUCCCCUGACGGUAUCUAACCAGAAAGCCACGGCUAACUACGUGCCAGCAGCCGCGGUAAUACGUAGGUGGCAAGCGUUGUCCGGAUUUAUUGGGCGUAAAGCGAGCGCAGGCGGUUUCUUAAGUCUGAUGUGAAAGCCCCCGGCUCAACCGGGGAGGGUCAUUGGAAACUGGGAGACUUGGGUGCAGAAGAGGAGAGUGGAAUUCCAUGUGUAGCGGUGAAGUGCGUAGAUAUAUGGAGGAACACCAGUGACGAAGGCGGCUGUCUGGUCUGUAACUGACGCUGAGGCUCGAAAGCGUGGGGAGCAAACAGG
rnacentral:rRNA from 1 species